rnacentral:rRNA from 1 species
CACCGCGGUUAUACGAGAGGCCCAAGUUGACAGACACUCGGCGUAAAGAGUGGUUAAUAAUAAUUUAAACUAAAGCCGAACGCUCCCAGAACUGUUAUACGUACUCGAGAGUAAGAAGCCCCACCACGAAAGUGGCUUUAUCCACUUGACCCCACGAAAGCUGCGAAA